UUAAAUUUUAUUUAUUAAUUUUAUACAUUUUUAUAUUUAUUUAAUAAAAAUAAUUUUAUAAUUUUUUGUUAUAGUAUUUUUUAAAGAAAAAAUAAUUUUAAUAAUAGUUUAUUAGUAUUGUAAAAGAAAAUUUAAAUAAUUUGAAAAAUUUUUAUUUUAAAAGAAAAUUUAAUUUAUUGUACCUUGUGUAUCAGGGUUUAUUAAUUAAUUAAUUAUUAUAAUAAUUUUUCUCGAAUUUUAAAGAUUUAAUUAUAUAUAAAAGUUAUUGUAGCAUAAAUAUUUUAAAUAUAUAAUUAGAAAUGAAAUGUUAAUCGUUUUAAAAUAUAUCUAGUUUUUUAAGAAAUAAAUUUAAUUUAGAUUUAUAAAUUAAAAAUAUUAUUUUUAUAAUAUUUUUAAUUUAUAAAAUUAAUAUUUUAAGGGAUUAGCUUUAAAAUAAAUUUUUAAAUUUAAAAUAAAAUAGUUAAUAAAUGUAAGCUUAAAAAUAGUUAUCUUUAAUAAAUUUGUUAUAAUUUAUUUUAAUUUUUUUAUUAUUUAUUUUUAAAUUAAAUUAUUUAUUAAAAUAUAAAUUUUAAUAAUUAAAAUUUAUUAAUUAUGAUAAAAUUAGUAUAUAAAUUUAUUUAAAUUAUUUAAUAUGAAAGGUUUAAAUAAGGAAUUCGGCAAAAAAUAUAUUCACCUGUUUAUCAAAAACAUGUCUUUUUGAAUUUAAUUUAAAGUCUAACCUGCCCACUGAUUAUAUUAAAGGGCCGCAGUAUUUUGACUGUGCGAAGGUAGCAUAAUCAAUAGUCUUUUAAUUGGAGGCUUGUAUGAAUGGUUGAAUGAGAUAUAUACUGUCUUUUUUAAAUUUUUAUAGAAUUUUAUUUUUUAAUUAAAAAGUUAAAAUAUAAUUAAAGGACGAGAAGACCCUAUAGAUCUUUAUUUUUGUUAAUUAUAAAUUAAAAAGAAUAAUUAAAUUUAUAUUUUAAUAAAAAAUUUUACUGGGGUGGUAUUAAAAUUUAGAUAACUUUUAUUAUUUAUUUACAUUAAUAUAUGAAUAAUUGAUCCAAUUAUAUUGAUUAAAAAAUUAAGUUACCUUAGGGAUAACAGCGUAAUUUUUUUUUAGAGUUCAUAUCGACAAAAAAGAUUGCGACCUCGAUGUUGGAUUAAGAGUUAUUUUUAGGUGUAGAAGUUUAAAGUUUAGGUCUGUUCGACCUUUGAAUUCUUACAUGAUCUGAGUUCAAACCGGUGUAAGCCAGGUUGGUUUCUAUCCUUAAUUAAAUUAUUAUAUUAUAGUACGAAAGGACCUAAUAUAAAAAAUAUAAAUUUUAAAAUUAUGAUUAAUAUUAAUAUUUAAUAA
rnacentral:rRNA from 1 species